CAGCCGCCACGGGAAUACGAAGGGUGCAAGCGUUACUCGGAAUUACUGGGCGUAAAGCGUGCGUAGGUGGUGGUUUAAGUCCGUUGUGAAAGCCCUGGGCUCAACCUGGGAAUUGCAGUGGAUACUGGGUCACUAGAGUGUGGUAGAGGAUAGUGGAAUUUCCGGUGUAGCAGUGAAAUGCGUAGAGAUCGGAAGGAACAUCUGUGGCGAAGGCGACCAUCUGGGCCAACACUGACACUGAGGCACGAAAGCGUGGGGAGCAAACAGGAUUAGAGACCCCCGUAGUCCCUGUCUCUUAUAC
rnacentral:rRNA from 1 species